GAGGUCAAAGCUCCACAGAAAGUGAUGUGGAAUCAAACAGUCAAGAAAGCAUUCUGGUGGGGCAAAUAUGGCAGGCAGCAGUGAGUGUGGCUUCUGGAGUGGGCGUGCUCCUGGUAGGAUUGACAGCUGUCUGUCUCUGCAGGAGGACCAAGAAAAACUAUUCUCAGAGACCUACAGCCAGACAGGAUGAUCACAG